rnacentral:lncRNA from 1 species
CAACAACUUCCUAGUUAAAAACUUUUGACCUUGGAGAACCGCAGGACUUCCUUUCCUUAUCACAGUACAUCAAAGGAUAGACCUAUCCAUGCACAUAGAUCACCAUAGCGUGCUUGAUUCCUUCAACAUUGUCAACAUAUUUUGCAGUCCAUUGUUUCAUCUGGAAAACAGUAUGCAAAGAGAAUCUUUACAAAAUGAGAAUAUAGUUUUCUUGCUCUUUAAGUUAGAUGUAG